rnacentral:rRNA from 1 species
GACGAACGCUGGCGGCGUGCUUAACACAUGCAAGUCGAACGGAAAGGCCCUGCUUUUGUGGGGUUCUCGAGUGGCGAACGGGUGAGUAACACGUGAGUAACCUGCCCUUGACUUUGGGAUAACUUCAGGAAACUGGGGCUAAUACCGUAUAGGAGCUCCUGCUGCAUGGUGGGGGUUGGAAAGUUUCGGCGGUUGGGGAUGGACGCGCGGCUUAUCAGCUUGUUGGUGGGGUAGUGGCUUACCAAGGCUUUGACGGGUAGCCGGCCUGGGAGGGUGACCGGGCACAAUGGGACUGCGGUACGGAGCAGAGUCGAACGGGAGGCAGCAGGGGGAAGUAUGGCACAGUGGGCGGGCGUGUGAGGAGGCAACGCCGGGUGCGGAAUGACGGCCUUCGGGUUGUAAACAGCUUUCGCCUGUGACGAAGCGUGAGUGACGGUAAUGGGUGAAGAAGCACCGGCUAACUACGUG